rnacentral:rRNA from 1 species
UGGCAACUUGGAUUAUGCCUUAUACGCCUGCAAGGUCCAACCAUAUAUCGGAGGAGGAUCGGCCCGCGUUGGAUUAGGUAGUUGGUGGGGUAAUGGCCUACCAAGCCGACGAUCCAUAGCUGGUUUGAGAGGAUGAUCAGCAACACUGGGACUGAGACACGGCCCAGACUCCUACGGGAGGCAGCAGUGGGGAAUCUUGGACAAUGGGGGAAACCCUGAUCCAGCCAUGCCGCGUGAUCGAUGAAGGCCUUAGGGUUGUAAAGAUCUUUCAGCUGGGAAGAUAAUGACGGUACCAGCAGAAGAAGCCCCGGCUAACUCCGUGCCAGCAGCCGCGGUAAUACGGAGGGGGCUAGCGUUGUUCGGAAUUACUGGGCGUAAGCGCACGUAGGCGGAUAGUUAAGUUAGAGGU